rnacentral:rRNA from 1 species
UUAGGAAUCUUGCGCAAUGGGCGAAAGCCUGACGCAGCGACGCCGCGUGGAGGACGAAGUCCCUAGGGAUGUAAACUCCUUUUGUGAGGGAAGAACACAAUGACGGUACCUCACGAAUAAGCCCCGGCUAACUACGUGCCAGCAGCCGCGGUAAUACGUAGGGGGCGAGCGUUGUCCGAAGUUACUGGGCGUAAAGCGCGCGUAGGCGGGCUGUUAAGUGAGGGGUGAAAUACCGGGGCUCAACCCCGGAACUGCCUUUCAUACUGGCAGUCUUGAGGGCGGUAGGGAGAAGUGGAAUGGCUGGUGUAGCGGUGAAAUGCGUAGAUACCAGUCGGAACACCGGUGGCGAAGGCGGCUUCUUGGGCCGUUCCUGACGCUGAGGCGCGAAAGCCAGGGGAGCAAACGGG